rnacentral:rRNA from 1 species
UACGGAGGGGGCUAGCGUUGUUCGGAAUUACUGGGCGUAAAGCGCACGUAGGCGGCUUUGUAAGUUAGAGGUGAAAGCCCGGGGCUCAACUCCGGAAUUGCCUUUAAGACUGCAUCGCUAGAAUUGUGGAGAGGGAAGUGGAAUUCCGGGUGUAGUGGUGAAAUGCGUAGAUAUCCGGAGGAACACCAGUGGCGAAGGCGACUUCCUGGCCUGUUCUUGACGCUGAGGCGCGAAAGCUGGGGGAGCAAACGGG